CAUGCAAGUCGAACGGAGCUUAGAGAGCUUGCUUUUUAAGCUUAGUGGCGAACGGGUGAGUAACGCGUGAGUAACCUGCCCUAGAGUGGGGGACAACAGUUGGAAACGACUGCUAAUACCGCAUAAGCCCACGGUGCCGCAUGGCACUGAGGGAAAAGGAUUUAUUCGCUUUAGGAUGGACUCGCGUCCAAUUAGCUAGUUGGUGAGGUAACGGCCCACCAAGGCGACGAUUGGUAGCCGGACUGAGAGGUUGAACGGCCACAUUGGGACUGAGACACGGCCCAGACUCCUACGGGAGGCAGCAGUGGGGGAUAUUGCACAAUGGGGGAAACCCUGAUGCAGCGACGCCGCGUGGAGGAAGAAGGUUUUCGGAUUGUAAACUCCUGUCGUUAGGGACGAUAAUGACGGUACCUAACAAGAAAGCACCGGCUAACUACGUGCCAGCAGCCGCGGUAAAACGUAGGGUGCAAGCGUUGUCCGGAAUUACUGGGUGUAAAGGGAGCGCAGGCGGGAAGACAAGUUGGAAGUGAAAACCAUGGGCUCAACCCAUGAAUUGCUUUCAAAACUGUUUUUCUUGAGUAGUGCAGAGGUAGAUGGAAUUCCCGGUGUAGCGGUGGAAUGCGUAGAUAUCGGGAGGAACACCAGUGGCGAAGGCGGUCUACUGGGCACCAACUGACGCUGAGGCUCGAAAGCAUGGGUAGCAAACAGGAUUAGAUACCCUGGUAGUCCAUGCCGUAAACGAUGACUACUAGGUGUUGGGGGAUUGACCCCCUCAGUGCCGCAGUU
rnacentral:rRNA from 1 species